AAUGCGCAGAUAUCAGGAGGGAACACCAGUGGCGAAGGCGGUUCUCUUGGCCUUUCCUGACGCUGAGGAGCGAAAGCGUGGGGAGCGAACAGGCUUAGAUACCCUGGUAGUCCACGCUGUAAACGGUGGGUACUAGGUGUGGGGUCCAUUUCCACGGGUUCCGUGCCGUAGCUAACGCUUUAAGUACCCCGCCUGGGGAGUACGGCCGCAAGGCUAAAACUCAAAGGAAUUGACGGGGCCCCGCACAAGCGGCGGAGCAUGCGGAUUAAUUCGAUGCAACGCGUAGAACCUUACCUGGGUUUGACAUGGAUCGGGAGCGCUCAGAGAUGGGUGUGCCUCUUUUGGGGUCGGUUCACAGGUGGUGCAUGGCUGUCGUCAGCUCGUGUCGUGAGAUGUUGGGUUAAGUCCCGCAACGAGCGCAACCCUUGUUCACUGUUGCCAGCACGUUAUGGUGGGGACUCAGUGGAGACCGCCGGGGUCAACUCGGAGGAAGGUGGGGAUGACGUCAAGUCAUCAUGCCCCUUAUGUCCAGGGCUUCACGCAUGCUACAAUGGCUGGUACAGAGAGUGGCGAGCCUGUGAGGGUGAGCGAAUCUCGGAAAGCCGGUCUCAGUUCGGAUUGGGGUCUGCAACUCGACCUCAUGAAGUCGGAGUCGCUAGUAAUCGCAGAUCAGCAACGCUGCGGUGAAUACGUUCCCGGGGCUUGUACACACCGCCCGUCAAGUCAUGAAAGUUGGUAACACCCGAAGCCGGUGGCCUAACCGUUGUGGGGGAGCCGUCGAAGGUGGGACUGGUGAUUAGGACUAAGUCGUAACAAGGUAGCCGUACCGGAAGGUGCGGCUGGAUCACCUCCUU
rnacentral:rRNA from 1 species